rnacentral:rRNA from 1 species
AAGUUAGUGGCGGACGGGUGAGUAACACGUGGGCAACCUGCCUGUAAGUUGGGGAUAACUCCGGGAAACCGGGGCUAAUACCGAAUGAUAAAGUGUGGCGCAUGCCACGCUUUUGAAAGAUGGUUUCGGCUAUCGCUUACAGAUGGGCCCGCGGUGCAUUAGCUAGUUGGUAGGGUAAUGGCCUACCAAGGCAACGAUGCAUAGCCGACCUGAGAGGGUGAUCGGCCACACUGGGACU